GACGAACGCUGGCGGCGUGCCUAAUACAUGCAAGUCGAACGCAGUGGGUACGUGAUAGUAACCCGUGGUUAACCUCCCAUCAGAGGGGAUAACACUUGGAAACAGGUGCUAAACCCAUACUGAUGGCUGGAGCCGCGGGGCAUUGGCUAGUGGGUGAGGUAACGGCUCACCAAGGCGACGAUGCAUAGCCGACCGGAGAGGUGGAUCGGCCACACUGGGACUGAGACACGGCCCAGACUCCUACGGGAGGCAGCAGUAGGGAAUCUUCGGCAAUGGACGAAAGUCUGACCGAGCAACGCCGCGUGAGUGAAGAAGGUUUUCGGAUCGUAAAACUCUGUUGUUAGAGAAGCGGUAUCUAACCAGAAAGCCACGGCUAACUACGUGCCAGCAGCCGCGGUAAUAC
rnacentral:rRNA from 1 species